ACAUUUCUAUUUAACAAUAUUCAACAUCAACGUUUAAUAUUAUGUAAAUACUAUUACAAAAUAGCUAUGAAAUAUUAAGUCGUACAUAGUAAUAAAAUAAAACGACAGUUUCCAUUAGUUGUUUAGAUGGAAUUUUAAGUCCACCUCUAGAAAUAUGUUCGAUCCAAGAAGAGUCAUCUCCAUCUGUAUUUAUUAAAUGUGGGUAUUUAUUACAAAAUUUAUUUGUGACAUACCCAGCUACAUAUUUAGCAGCUUCGUACUCAAGUUGGUCAAAUGAAUCACUAGAAUCAACCUGUGUAGGUCAAGCCCUUCUGGUUGAACUAAUGUUGUAUCUUCUCCUAACUCCAAUAUGACAUCAUCAGAUUUAGGAAUGAUUU